UACGGAGGGUGCGAGCGUUAAUCGGAAUUACUGGGCGUAAAGCGCGCGUAGGCGGUUUGGUCAGUCGAUUGUGAAAGCCCUGGGCUUAACCUGGGAAUUGCAGUCGAUACUGCCUGACUAGAAUGUGGAAGAGGGAAGUGGAAUUUCCGGUGUAGCGGUGAAAUGCGUAGAUAUCGGAAGGAACACCAGUGGCGAAGGCGGCUUCCUGGUCCAACAUUGACGCUGAGGUGCGAAAGCGUGGGGAGCAAACAGG
rnacentral:rRNA from 1 species